rnacentral:rRNA from 1 species
UACAGAGGGGGGCAAGCGUUGUUCGGAAUUACUGGGCGUAAAGGGCGCGUAGGCGGCCUCUUAAGUCGAACGUGAAAUCCCCGGGCUCAACCCGGGAACUGCGUCCGAUACUGGGAGGCUUGAAUCCGGGAGAGGGAUGUGGAAUUCCAGGUGUAGCGGUGAAAUGCGUAGAUAUCUGGAGGAACACCGGUGGCGAAGGCGGCAUCCUGGACCGGUAUUGACGCUGAGGCGCGAAAGCUAGGGGAGCAAACGGG